GCUUACGGCCAUACCAGCCUGGGUACCGCCCGAUCUCGUCUGAUCUCGGAAGCUAAGCAGGGUCGGGCCUGCUUAGUACUUGGAUGGGAGACCGCCUUGGAAUACCAGGUGCUGUAAGCA
rnacentral:rRNA from 1 species